AACAACGGAUCUCUUGGCUCUCGCAUCGAUGAAGAACGCAGCGAAAUGCGAUACGUAAUGUGAAUUGCAGAAUUCAGUGAAUCAUCGAAUCUUUGAACGCACCUUGCGCCCCUUGGCAUUCCGAGGGGCACACCCGUUUGAGUGUC
rnacentral:rRNA from 1 species